GAUGAAGAACGUAGUGAAAUGCGAUAAGUAAUGUGAAUUGCAGAAUUCAGUGAAUCAUCGAAUCUUUGAACGCACAUUGCGCCCGCCAGUAUUCUGGCGGGCAUGCCUGUCCGAGCGUCAUUUCAACCCUCGAACCCCUCCGGGGGGUCGGCGUUGGGGAUCGGCCCCUCACCGGGCCGCCCCCGAAAUCCAGUGGCGGUCUCGCCGCAGCCUCUCCUGCGCAGUAGUUUGCACACUCGCACCGGGAGCGCGGCGCGGCCACAGCCGUAAAACACCCCAAACUCUGAAAUGUUGACCUCGGAUCAGGUAGGAAUACCCGCUGAACUUAAGCAUAUCAAUAAGCGAGGA
rnacentral:misc_RNA from 1 species